AGAAACCAAUAGGGAUUGCCUUAGUAACGGCGAGUGAAGUGGCAAAAGCUCAGAUUUAAAAGCUGGUACUUCUGGUAUCUGCAUUGUAAUCUGUAGAGGGAUGUUCAAGUAUAAACUUUGGCUUAAGUCCUUUGGAAUAGGGUAUCAUAGAGGGUGAGAAUCCCGUGAAUAGUCUUAGUUUUAUUCUUAUAUGAACUCCCUUCAAUGAGUCGAGUUGUUUGGGAAUGCAGCUCUAAAUGGGUGGUAUAUUUCAUCUAAAGCUAAAUAUUGGCAGGAGACCGAUAGCGCACAAGUAGAGUGAUCGAAAGAUGAAAAGAACUUUGGAAAGAGAGUUAAAUAGUACGUGAAAUUGUUGAAAGGGAAGCACUUGCAUCCAGACUUGUCUGCAGCUAAUCAGCUAUCACUUUUGAUAGUGCAUUUGGUUGUAGACAGGCCAGCAUCAGUUAGGAUGGUAGGAAAAAAAUAUAGAGAAUGUAGCUUCUUACUGAGUGUUAUAGUUCUAUAUAUAAUAUUAUCAGUUCCUAACUGAGGCUAGCGCAUUAGCAAAGAUGUUGGCUUAAUGGAUGUAUAUGACCCGUCUUGAAACACGGACCAAGGAGUCUAAUAGCUGUGCGAGUAUUUGGGUAUUAAAACCCUUAUGCAUAAUGAAAGUAAAUGGAGGUGGGAACCUUAAGGUGCACCAUUGACCGAUCUUGAAGUUUUCAGAUGGAUUUGAGUAGGAGCAUAGCUAUGGGACCCGAAAGAUGGUGAACUAUGCCUGAAUAGGGUGAAGCCAGAGGAAACUCUGGUGGAAGCUCGCAGCGGUUCUGACGUGCAAAUCGAUCGUCAAAUUUGGGUAUAGGGGCGAAAGACUAAUCGAACCAUCUAGUAGCUGGUUCCGGC
rnacentral:rRNA from 1 species